GGGUUCUUUUCAAUUUCACCAGGCUGUGCAGGGGUCAGGUGUCUGGAAGGGACUCUCUUUGGCUGUAUCUGCUUUCACCAGGAGGGCAGCAAAAUAGCACACAGUGAAUUAUCACUGAAUUAUCACUGACACUGGACAUAAAUGGAAUUCAAUCAAGUUCCAACUUUAAACAGCAGGCCUGAGGAGACUUCUUAAAUCUUAUCUUGACCAAGCAAGAUGGGGUCCUUUCCAUGAUGAGCUCCUGCAUGCUGAAUAAAUUAGAGUAAAUAAUAAUGAUCUGAAGAUUCUCAUCUUUUGAGGGAUAGAACUGAACUCAGAAAAUUUUGGUAGAGUGACUGUUGGUGGUGCUAGGGAAUUUUUCAUCAGUCAGCAACACCAUGGGCAGGU